rnacentral:rRNA from 1 species
CAUAGCGACUAUCGUGGCAUAUCAAUAAGCGGAGGAAAAGAAACUAACAAGGAUUCCCUUAGUAACGGCGAGUGAAGCGGGAAGAGCUCAAAUUUGAAAUCUUCAAGGUUCUACCUUGACGAAUUGUAGUUUAUAGAAGUGUUUUCUGUUAGUAGAGUGGCAAAAGUUCUUUGGAAUAGGACAUCAUAGAGGGUGAGAAUCCCGUAUUUGGUCAUUCUUUCUAGCUUUGUGAUACACUUUCAACGAGUCGGAUUGUUUGGGAAUGCAGUCCAAAAUGGGUGGUAAAUUUCAUCUAAAGCUAAAUAUUGGCGAGAGACCGAUAGCGAACAAGUACCGUGAGGGAAAGAUGAAAAGAACUUUGAAAAGAGAGUUAAACAGUACGUGAAAUUGUCAAAAGGGAAGCGUCUGACACCAGUGUUGUUUUUUCCGAAAAUCAAUUACGAAUGUUUUGUUUUUGAGGAGUUAUGACUUCAUCGGCUUGCUCCUUUCUUUACGAAACUUUCUUAAUGCACUUUUCGGUUAACAAGUCAACAUCAAUUUCUUUUGUUGUAAAAGGGUAUGAGGAAGGUGGCUUUCUUUUCGGAGAAAGUGUUUAUAGCCUUGUGAUCUCUGCAAUCGGAGAGACUGAGGUCUGCAGCGUAGACUCUUCGGGGUUAGAUACGUUUGUGCUAAGCUAUAGCUUUUUCAUAGACAACUUGUUGACUAUAGUUUAGUCUUGUAGCUUACUCGCUGAUGCUAUUUUACCUACGCUUAGGAUGUUGAUAGUCACAGCGUGUAC